GCCUCUGUAGCUCAGCUGGAAGAGCUCCUCUGUAUUAUGCACUCAGAAUUCAGAUUUUCUGGAGGAGACGUGGGUUCGAAUCCCGCCGGAGGCA